GAGCCGUUAGCUCAGCCGGUAGAGCACCUGCCUUUUAAGCAGGGGGUCGGUGGUUCGAUCCCACCACGGCUCACCA
rnacentral:tRNA from 2 species